GAUGAACGCUGGCGGCGUGCCUAAUACAUGCAAGUCGAGCGAACAGACGAGGAGCUUGCUCCUCUGACGUUAGCGGCGGACGGGUGAGUAACACGUGGAUAACCUACCUAUAAGACUGGGAUAACUUCGGGAAAACGGAUCUAAUACCGGAUAAUAUAUUGAACCGCAUGGUUCAAUAGUGAAAGACGGUUUUGCUGUCACUUAUAGAUGGAUCCGCGCCGCAUUAGCUAGUUGGUAAGGUAACGGCUUACCAAGGCAACGAUGCGUAGCCGACCUGAGAGGGUGAUCGGCCACACUGGAACGGAGACACGGUCCAGACUCCUACGGGAGGCAGCAGUAGGGAAUCUUCCGCAAUGGGCGAAAGCCUGACGGAGCAACGCCGCGUGAGUGAUGAAGGUCUUCGGAUCGUAAAACUCUGUUAUUAGGGAAGAACAAAUGUGUAAGUAACUAUGCACGUCUUGACGGUACCUAAUCAGAAAGCCACGGCUAACUACGUG
rnacentral:rRNA from 1 species